rnacentral:rRNA from 1 species
UAUUGGGCAAUGGGCGCAAGCCUGACCCAGCAACGCCGCGUUAAGGAAGAAGGCCCUCGGGUUGUAAACUUCUUUUAUCAAGGACGAAACAAAUGACGGUCCUUGAUGAAUAAGCCACGGCUAACUACGAGCCAGCAGCCGCGGUAACACGCAGGUGGUAAGCGUUAUCCGGAUUUACUGGGUGUAAAGGGCGUGUAGUCGGGACUGCAAGUCAGAUGUGAAAACCAUGGGCUCAACCCAUGGCCUGCAUUUGAAACUGUAGUUCUUGAGUGUUGGAGAGGCAGGCGGAAUUCCGUGUGUAGCGGUGAAAUGCGUAGAUAUACGGAGGAACACCAGUGGCGAAGGCGGCCUGCUGGACAAUAACUGACGCUGAGGCGCGAAAGCGUGGGGAGCAAACAGG